GACGAACCGAGCGAACGUUGUUCGGAAUCACUGGGCUUAAAGGGUGCGUAGGUGGCGCCGUAAGUCGGGUGUGAAAUUUCGGAGCUUAACUCCGAAACUGCAUUCGAUACUGCGGUGCUUGAGGACUGGAGAGGAGACUGGAAUUCAUGGUGUAGCAGUGAGAUGCGUAGAGAUCAUGAGGAAGACCAGUGGCGAAGGCGGGUCUCUGGACAGUUCCUGACACUGAGGCACGAAGGCCAGGGGAGCAAACGGG
rnacentral:rRNA from 1 species